GAUGAACGCUGGCGGCGUGCCUAAUACAUGCAAGUCGAGCGAACAGACGAGGAGCUUGCUCCUCUGACGUUAGCGGCGGAGGUGUGAGUAACACGUGGAUAACCUACCUAUAAGACUGGGACAACUUCGGGACACCGGAGCUAAUAGCGGAUAAUAUAUUGAACCGCAGGGUUCAAUAGUGAAAGACGGCUUUGGUGUAUGGUAUAGAUGCAUCCGAGCCGCAUGAGCUAGUUGUUACGUUAACGGCUUAUCAAGGCGACCAUGCGUGGGCGAACUGCGAGGCUGAUCGCCCACACUGGAACUUGGACACGGUCCAUGCGCCUACGGGAGGCAGCAGUAGCGUAUGGUCCGCAGUGGGCGAAAGCCUGACGGAGCGACGCCGCGUGUGUGAUGAAGGUCUUCGGUUCGUAAAGCUCUGUUAUUAGGGAAGAACAAAUGUGUACGUAACUAUGCACGUCUUGACGGUACCGAAUCAGAAAGCAACGGCUAACUACGUG
rnacentral:rRNA from 1 species